rnacentral:rRNA from 1 species
CACGUAGGGCGCAAGCGUUGUCCGGAAUUAUUGGGCGUAAAGAGCUCGUAGGCGGUCUGUUACGUCUGCUGUGAAAACCCAGGGCUUAACCCUGGGCUUGCAGUGGAUACGGGCAGACUAGAGGCAGGUAGGGGAGAAUGGAAUUCCCGGUGUAGCGGUGAAAUGCGCAGAUAUCGGGAGGAACACCGGUGGCGAAGGCGGUUCUCUGGGCCUGAUCUGACGCUGAGGAGCGAAAGUGUGGGGAGCGAACAGG